AUGACGAGAGUGAAGAAUAUUUACUAUGUACUUCCCGGAGAACCUGAACCGAAGCGCACCGUGUCAAACACUCACAGGAUUGGGAAGGUAAUGUUCCUAACAGCUGUUGCCAGGCCUCGAUAUAACAAUGAGGGGGAGCUAACAUUCGAUGGGAAGAUCGGAAUUUGGGCAUUCGUCGAAGAGACUGAGGCGAAGCAGACAAGUCAGAACAGAACAAAGGGAACAAAAGUGUUGACAUCAGUGAAAGUAACCAGGCCUAUGUGCAGAGAUUAUCUAAUCAAUAAGGUUAUCCCGGCAAUUCAGGAUAAGUGGCCUGACGAUGAUGAGGGAGCAGCAAUAUUCAUCCAACAGGAUAACGCAAAGCCUCAUGUGCUUCCCAAUGAUGUAGCUUUUCGAGAAGCUGUGGAACAAACUGAUCUUGACAUCCGAUUGCUACAACAGCCCCCAAAUAGCCCUGAGUAA
rnacentral:rRNA from 1 species